AGGGCGAUAGUUGCAUGACGUAGACCCGAAACCGGGUGACCUAUCCAUGAGCAGGUUGAAGUGGAGGUAAAGCUCCAUGGAGGACCGAACCAGACGUCUGUUGAAAAAGGCGGGGAUGACUUGUGGAUAGGGGAGAAAUUCCAAUCGAACCCGGAGAUAGCUGGUUCUCCUCGAAAUAGCUUUAGGGCUAGCCUCAUGGAUCAUUGGUGGGGGUAGAGCACUGAAUGUGCGCGGGGGCCACAAAGCCUACCAAACGCUAUCAAACUACGAAUACCAUACAAUGCAGACCAUGGGAGUCAGUCCGCGAGAGAUAAGUUCCGCGGGCAAAAGGGGAACACCCCAGAUCAACCGCUAAGGUCCCCAAGUUCACGUUAAGUGGAGAAGGAUGUGGAAUUGCACAGACAACCAGGAUGUUGGCUCAGAAGCAGCCACACAUUUAAAGAGUGCGUAAUAGCUCACUGGUCGAGUGAUUGUGCGCCGAAGAUGUCCGGGGCUAAACGUGACACCGAAGCGAUGGGUGCAUCUGAAGAAGAUGCGCGGUAGAGGAGCAAUGUGCAGAGGCAGAAGCCGUAUCGAGAGGCACGGUGGACACUGCACAAGAGAGAAUGCCGGUAUGAGUAGCGAGAGGCAUGCGAGAAACAUGCCCGUCGAAAGCCCAAGGUUUCCUGGGGAAGGUUCAUCCGCCCAGGGUAAGUCGGGGCCUAAGCCGAGGACGGAAGUCGUAGGCGAUGGACAGCAGGUGUAGAUUCCUGCACUACCGAUGGAAUGAAGCAGUGACACAGAAGGAUAACUCGAGCAGGGUGAUGGUCAACCCUGUGCAAGCAUCAAGGUUGGGUUGUAGUGAAGUACGCAACCCUAUAAGCUGAGAUGUGAUGCGGACCGAAAUUUCAGUAGGGAAGCGAGUGAGUUCACGCUGGCGAGAAAAGCUGCUAGUACAUCCAAAGGUACCCGUACCGGAAACCGACGCAGGUGGGCGAGGAGAGAAUCCUGAGACGAACGGGAGAACCCUUGUUAAGGAACUCGGCAAAAUGACCCCGUAACUUCGGGAUAAGGGGUGCCUGCGAGAGCAGGCCGCAGAGAAUAGUCACAAGCGACUGUUUAGCAAAAACACAGGUAUCUGCGAAAGCGAGAGCUGACGUAUAGGUGCUGACACCUGCCCGGUGCUGGAAGGUUAAGGGAACAUGUUAGAGCAAUCGAAGCAUCGAACCGAAGCCCCAGUAAACGGCGGCCGUAACUAUAACGGUCCUAAGGUAGCGAAAUUCCUUGUCGGGUAAGUUCCGACCCGCACGAAUGGUGUAACGA
rnacentral:rRNA from 1 species